AUACGUUAGUAUGUAAAUAGUACAUGGUAGACAGAGUUCGUAUAUGUUAUGUAGCUUGCUUCGUAACGGUAUUGCGGAUAGAUCCGAUAGUCCCCUAGCUGUUGGUGUUGGUUGGUUGGUUGGUUGGUGUGUUGGUUUCGUUGGCUCCGUUUAAGGUCUGGGUCUUUCUACGAGUACUCUGUAUGAGAGCCCACUUGAGUUGUUAGUCAAUUGUACGGGUGGAUUCGUGUUGGCUGUUUGUCCUCCGUUCUCCGGUCAGCGUUCGAAGUUCUGCGUUCUCGUUCUCCGAGUCUGUAUCGCUUUUUCACUGUGUUCUUGGUUCUGCGUCCUGCGUUCUUGUUGCUUUCCGUUUUGAGUGUUUUGUUGUUUGGUUGGUUGGGUCAGUUGAACUGUGUUUGAUUGGACUGUUUUCUCAAGUUAGUAAAGUACUCGUACAUAUAGUUCUCUGUAAGUUCAUUUUGUUGUCAGUGGGUCUGUGGAAAUAGAAAGAUAAAAAUGGUUUUGUUCUUAAUAUGUUCACGGUCAGAGGCACCGCAUCGUCAAUGCACAAUGGUCCCCAUUGUGCGCAAGGUUUGUAGCUCCGUUCAGAACAUGAAUGGCCCUUUGGGCACUUUCGCACUCUGCGUACUUUACGUAGCCACAGUUCUUGUUGGGAAGCAAAUAUACAUCGAUAAGUCCUUUCCAGCACGAGAAAAUGUUCUUCAAAAUGGAGUGCGGAAGAUUCUGUCAAAGAAUAAGAUAAACCAUAAUUAGUUUCACCUCUACUUUGUGCUGUGGAUCACCUACCGCAGAAAGCACAAUGAAAAGUCGUUGUGCAACUUGGGCAUCGGGUGAUGCUAAAGGCUGGGCAGGAGGCAGGGGCACGUUGCAUAUGGCAUCCUUUUUAGUGCGUUCUGAAAUUGAUAAAUUAUAAAUAAAGCAGAAUAAAAUACUAGAUUCCAAUAAGCAGUAACAAACUCAACAAAACCAA